GGGCCAGGCGCUCCCUCCGGCGCCGCCUGCCUCGCAGCUUUUUCCCCCGGCCUGCCCGCGCCCCGCAGAUCCUGAGCGCCUACCCCGGGUGGCAACGCCUCUCAGAGAGCGUCCCGGCCCGCCUCCUCCUAAAGCUCGGGCCCUCUGGGACUGCUAGGAGGGGAAAAUCGUUUCAGGAUUGGAAAGGAAGGUACCAAAAUGAUUGGAGAGGGCCUUUCCCCGUUUCACUAGGCACUUGGAGAAGCUGUGACAGAGAGCUGGACACCCAGCGCGUGCGGACCCCGUGCGUAUUUCCCCGGAGUCCGCGUUCCGUGAAAGGGAGAGGGGUGCGGUUAGCUCCAGGGAUUCUCUAGCCCUGGAGCCACCGCUGAUUUGCGCAGCUAGUUGCCUGGGGGUGAUAAACGGGCGUCGUCUCUCUUCAGGAGCGCCAACACUACCAAGCUUCCCCCUGCAAAAUUCAGAAAGGAUGCGCUUUGGUGAGAACUUGGCUCAGCCUUCCCGUGGCUUGGGAGAUGAGGUUGGAGUGAGAAUGUCACCAGACCUCGGAAGGGGACAUAACGGUACCUCCUAGUCCCAGGACACGGCUGGUCGCCUGAUCUCGUUUAGCAGGGCAGGAGCCUGUGUUCCCAUUUCUUACUAGCUGGGCUGCCGAUGACCUAGCUCAGCCUUGGUUUUCCUCCGGUUGAACAAAAGCUGGCAAGAGCUGCCUCCCGGAUCGCAGUGAGGACUCUAAGGGAACGAGGGCGAACGCGCUUUGGAAAGCCAGUUGCUGAGCAGAUGUCUGGAGAACUGACCCAAGAAGAAGGACCAACAAUUCAGGCUCAGGAAAGCCCACAAUUCCACAGGGGAACCAGGACUGCAUGGCUUCGAAUCCCAGCCCUCCCCACUCAGGAAACAUUGCUCCCCAAACGGCACGGAUUUCUGGACGCCUCCACCUUAAGACAGCUACUUCAGCCAGAACGUGGGACAGGCACUAACGGGAUAUCACCCUUGGGGAUAAACACGCUCCAGUUUCCUGUGGACGGUGGAAGAGGAAAGAACAGGAGAAGCUGCCAAAGGGAUGGGGUGUAGGAAGCUCAUCCUUGCACGUUUAGACUAGGGAAGAAGAGAAUAUUAGGGAUGGGGGAGGGGGGAGGAUGGGAAGUGUAGUUUUUCCCCUUCCUUCCUUUCAUUUCAGAUCCCAUUUAGUGCUUUUAUUUCUUUAAUUUUGAAAACUAUUUCCCUUUCCUGAAUCUGGAUGCGGGCAGGGAGCGAACUCAAGGAAAUGAUGAGCAUGGAUGAGAGCCAGGGGACAGGAGAUAUGUCCUGGGAACUCAAACUCUGCUGCUUCGCCACUGUCUCCGAGAUGCCCUGAGCCUUAGCCCAAUGUAAAGGGAGCUGAUUGGGUGUAUGGGCAGUGGCGGGUGGUCUGAGUAAGAAAUAAAAUGAGGGCAAGCCAGAUCUACUCCCAUCCCAAAGCAUUAAAAGACACACCUCCCCACCCCUCAGCUGUCUUGUGUCCGGCAGAAUGGCAUUAUGUAAAAGAUCUGGCAUGUCACCCAGUGGCACAUCUGGUAGGUGUAGAUGGCAUUCAUUAGCACGGGGCUUCUACUCUGCAGCAUGCCAAAGCUCUGACAGAGAUGCCCGCUGCCAAUCAUUCAUUGGCUGCCAAUCCCCAAGCGCGGCCGGGCGGGAUGGCU
ensembl:lncRNA PRDM8-AS1 PRDM8 antisense RNA 1